UGUGGGAGCGGGCUUGCCCGCGAUAGCGGUAUGUCAGUUAACAACUGUGUUGGCUGAUCCACCGCCAUCGCGGGCAAGCCCGCUCCCACA
rnacentral:misc_RNA from 1 species